GUGUAGAUACAGCAGCAUGCAGGUGGAAAGUGUCUCUGCUUUUUUUGUGCCCAAGUUUCAUAUCUUUCCAACUACAACAAUUAGUGACCAUAUUUGGGCGAGAAGCUGGAGCUGUGGAGGAGCGAGGGGUAGAUCUGACUGAGAAACCGAGGGCACUAUCGGCAGACAGCCUGUCACUCUAAAUGGCUUCCCAGCAGUCUGCAAACUAAAACGAAUGAGGGAAGUCCAGAUGUGUAUGUUCAGCCCCCCCUGACUGAUUAUCCUGUCCAGGAUUUUGGGAGGCUGGAGACUAUCCUAGCAUGCCCUGGGUAAGUGGCAGGAUGCACCUGGACAGCUUGGCAGUUUAUCACCUAAUGUGCCAAACAUCUUUCUCUUUUUA